CCUACGGGAGGCAGCAGUGGGGAAUAUUGCACAAUGGGGGAAACCCUGAUGCAGCGACGCCGCGUGAAGGAAGAAGUAUUUCGGUAUGUAAACUUCUAUCAGCAGGGAAGAAAAUGACGGUACCUGACUAAGAAGCCCCGGCUAACUACGUGCCAGCAGCCGCGGUAAUACGUAGGGGGCAAGCGUUAUCCGGAUUUACUGGGUGUAAAGGGAGCGUAGGCGGGUUAGAAAGUCAGAAGUGAAAGCCCGGGGCUCAACUCCGGGACUGCUUUUGAAACUGGUGAACUAGAGUGCAGGAGAGGUAAGUGGAAUUCGUGGUGUAGCGGUGAAAUGCGUAGAUAUUAGGAAGAACACCAGUGGCGAAGGCGGCUUACUGGACUGUAAAUGACGCUGAGGCUCGAAAGCGUGGGGAGCAAACAGGAUUAGAUACCCCAGUAGUC
rnacentral:rRNA from 1 species